GUCGAACGCGAAAGUCCCGCAAGGGAUGAGUAGAGUGGCAAACGGGUGAGUAACACGUGGGUGACCUGCCUUCGAGCGGGGGAUAACGUCCCGAAAGGGACGCUAAUACCGCAUGACAUCCUGCCUUUGAAGAGGUGGAGAUCAAAGCUGGGGAUCGCAAGACCUAGCACUCGAAGAGGGGCCCGCGCCUGAUUAGCUAGUUGGUGGGGUAACGGCUCACCAAGGCAACGAUCAGUAGCCGGCCUGAGAGGGCGGACGGCCACACUGGGACUGAGACACGGCCCAGACUCCUACGGGAGGCAGCAGUGGGGAAUUGUUCGCAAUGGGCGCAAGCCUGACGACGCAACGCCGCGUGGAGGACGAAGACCUUCGGGUCGUAAACUCCUUUCGAUCGAGACGAAUGGCCUUCGGGUGAACAAUCCGGAGGAAUGACGGUACCGAGAGAAGAAGCCCCGGCUAACUCCGUGCCAGCAGCCGCGGUAAUACGGGGGGGGCAAGCGUUGUUCGGAAUUACUGGGCGUAAAGGGCUCGUAGGUGGCCAACUAAGUCAGACGUGAAAUCCCUCAGCUUAACUGGGGAACUGCGUCUGAUACUGGAUGGCUUGAGAUUGGGAGAGGGAUGCGGAAUUCCAGGUGUAGCGGUGAAAUGCGUAGAUAUCUGGAGGAACACCGGUGGC
rnacentral:rRNA from 1 species